rnacentral:rRNA from 1 species
AAAUUGAAGAGUUUGAUCAUGGCUCAGAUUGAACGCUGGCGGCAGGCCUAACACAUGCAAGUCGAACGGUAACAGGAAGCAGCUUGCUGCUUUGCUGACGAGUGGCGGACGGGUGAGUAAUGUCUGGGAAACUGCCUGAUGGAGGGGGAUAACUACUGGAAACGGUGGCUAAUACCGCAUAACGUCGCAAGACCAAAGAGGGGGACCUUCGGGCCUCUUGCCAUCAGAUGUGCCCAGAUGGGAUUAGCUUGUUGGUGAGGUAACGGCUCACCAAGGCGACGAUCCCUAGCUGGUCUGAGAGGAUGACCAGCCACACUGGAACUGAGACACGGUCCAGACUCCUACGGGAGGCAGCAGUGGGGAAUAUUGCACAAUGGGCGCAAGCCUGAUGCAGCCAUGCCGCGUGUAUGAAGAAGGCCUUCGGGUUGUAAAGUACUUUCAGCGGGGAGGAAGGUGUUGUGGUUAAUAACCGCAGCAAUUGACGUUACCCGCAGAAGAAGCACCGGCUAACUCCGUGCCAGCAGCCGCGGUAAUACGGAGGGUGCAAGCGUUAAUCGGAAUUACUGGGCGUAAAGCGCACGCAGGCGGUCUGUCAAGUCGGAUGUGAAAUCCCCGGGCUCAACCUGGGAACUGCAUUCGAAACUGGCAGGCUUGAGUCUUGUAGAGGGGGGUAGAAUUCCAGGUGUAGCGGUGAAAUGCGUAGAGAUCUGGAGGAAUACCGGUGGCGAAGGCGGCCCCCUGGACAAAGACUGACGCUCAGGUGCGAAAGCGUGGGGAGCAAACAGGAUUAGAUACCACGGUAGUCCACGCCGUAAACGAUGUCUACUUGGAGGUUGUGCCCUUGAGGCGUGGCUUCCGGAGCUAACGCGUUAAGUAGACCGCCUGGGGAGUACGGCCGCAAGGUUAAAACUCAAAUGAAUUGACGGGGGCCCGCACAAGCGGUGGAGCAUGUGGUUUAAUUCGAUGCAACGCGAAGAACCUUACCUGGUCUUGACAUCCACAGAACUUUCCAGAGAUGGAUUGGUGCCUUCGGGAACUGUGAGACAGGUGCUGCAUGGCUGUCGUCAGCUCGUGUUGUGAAAUGUUGGGUUAAGUCCCGCAACGAGCGCAACCCUUAUCCUUUGUUGCCAGCGAUUAGGUCGGGAACUCAAAGGAGACUGCCAGUGAUAAACUGGAGGAAGGUGGGGAUGACGUCAAGUCAUCAUGGCCCUUACGACCAGGGCUACACACGUGCUACAAUGGCGCAUACAAAGAGAAGCGACCUCGCGAGAGCAAGCGGACCUCAUAAAGUGCGUCGUAGUCCGGAUUGGAGUCUGCAACUCGACUCCAUGAAGUCGGAAUCGCUAGUAAUCGUGGAUCAGAAUGCCACGGUGAAUACGUUCCCGGGCCUUGUACACACCGCCCGUCACACCAUGGGAGUGGGUUGCAAAAGAAGUAGGUAGCUUAACCUUCGGGAGGGCGCUUACCACUUUGUGAUUCAUGACUGGGGUGAAGUCGUAACAAGGUAACCGUAGGGGAACCUGCGGUUGGAUCACCUCCUUACCUUAAAGAA